rnacentral:rRNA from 1 species
AGUGAACGCUGGCGGUAGGCCUAACACAUGCAAGUCGAACGGCAGCACAGUAAGAGCUUGCUCUUACGGGUGGCGAGUGGCGGACGGGUGAGGAAUACAUCGGAAUCUACUUUUUCGUGGGGGAUAACGUAGGGAAACUUACGCUAAUACCGCAUACGACCUACGGGUGAAAGCAGGGGAUCUUCGGACCUUGCGCGAUUGAAUGAGCCGAUGUCGGAUUAGCUAGUUGGCGGGGUAAAGGCCCACCAAGGCGACGAUCCGUAGCUGGUCUGAGAGGAUGGUCAGCCACACUGGAACUGAGACACGGUCCAGACUCCUACGGGAGGCAGCAGUGGGGAAUCUUGGACAAUGGGCGCAAGCCUGAUCCAGCCAUACCGCGUGAGUGAAGAAGGCCUUCGGGUUGUAAAGCCCUUUUGUUGGGAAAGAAAAGCAGCAGGUUAAUACCCCGCUGUUCUGACGGUACCCAAAGAAUAAGCACCGGCUAACUUCGUG